UACGUAGGUGGCGAGCGUUGUCCGGAUUUACUGGGCGUAAAGGGCGCGUAGGCGGAUGGUACAGUCAGAUGUGAAAUUCCUGGGCUCAACCUGGGGGCUGCAUUUGAUACGUGCUGUCUUGAGUUCGGAAGAGGGUCGUGGAAUUCCCAGUGUAGAGGUGAAAUUCGUAGAUAUUGGGAAGAACACCUGUGGCGAAGGCGGCUCACUGGACCAUAACUGACGCUGAUGCACGAAAGCUAGGGGAGCAAACAGG
rnacentral:rRNA from 1 species